rnacentral:tRNA from 1 species
GCCUUCGUGGUGUAAUGGUUAACGCACUCGACUGUUUGAGAGGUCCAGGUUCUAGUCCCGGCGGGGGCA